ACUAGAGUGGUUAAAUGGUUUGAGUGCUGGACUAGAACUCUGGGGGACCAGGGUUUGAAUCCCUGCUCAGCC